rnacentral:rRNA from 1 species
CCUACGGGGGGCAGCAGUGGGGAAUAUUGGACAAUGGGGGCAACCCUGAUCCAGCCAUGCCGCGUGUGUGAAGAAGGCCCUCGGGUUGUAAAGCACUUUCAGUGAGGAAGAACGCCUGGUGGUUAAUACCCAUCAGGAAAGACAUCACUCACAGAAGAAGCACCGGCUAACUCCGUGCCAGCAGCCGCGGUAAUACGGAGGGUGCGAGCGUUAAUCGGAAUUACUGGGCGUAAAGCGCGCGUAGGUGGCUUGAUAAGCCGGUUGUGAAAGCCCCGGGCUCAACCUGGGAACGGCAUCCGGAACUGUCAAGCUAGAGUGAAGGAGAGGAAGGUAGAAUUCCCGGUGUAGCGGUGAAAUGCGUAGAGAUCGGGAGGAAUACCAGUGGCGAAGGCGGCCUUCUGGACUGACACUGACACUGAGGUGCGAAAGCGUGGGUAGCAAACAGGAUUAGAUACCCUGGUAGUC